AUGGGCUUUAUGACUCAGAUUUUCAUUUCUUUGCUACUCAGUGUCAAAGUGUCCAGUGGAGAAAUUGUGCUCACCCAGUCUCCAGCCUCGUUGGCUACAUCUCAAGGAGAGAGAGUCAUCAUCACCUGCAGUGCCAUCUCAAGUGUAGGCACUAGUAGAUUGCACUGGUACCCACAGAAGACAGGAUUCUCUCCCAAUCUCCUGAUUUAUGGCACAUCGGCACUGGCUGCUGGAGGCUCAGCCCUCUUUAGUGGCAGUGUGUCUGGAACCUCUUACUCUCUGACAAUCAGCAGCAUGGAGGCUGAAGAUGCUGCAACUUAUUACUGUCAACAGGGGCAUAAUUUACCGGCCACAGUGCUACAGACUGGAACUAAAAGUUCCAGCAGAGACAUUAUGAUGACACAGACUCCACUCUCCCUGCCUGUUCCUCCUGGAGAGUCGGCCUCCAUCUCCUGCAGUCAGGGCCCCCUACACAGUAAUGGAAAUACCUAUUUGCAUUGGGUUCUGCAGAAUCCAGGCCAGUCUCCACAGCUCCUGAUCUAUAUGGUGUUUAAUAGGUACACUGGAGUCCCAGACAGGUUCAGUGGAAAUGGAUCAGGGACAGAUUUCACACUCAAAAUGGCAGAGUAA